UCUAUAACUCGAGAUAUGGGCUGAACACUGAACAAUGUCUGGGCUGCAGGACAGAUUCUGACUUCUCCGUUAUUGCUAAGAUUUGGACUUCCAAAAAACAGAAUUGAGUCUUGCACACCUCAUGAAUGUUUUAGGCCUUUGUCUUAGCUUUCUAGC
rfam:Populus trichocarpa scaffold_157_contig_2, whole genome shotgun sequence.